GCCUUCGUAGUCCAGGGGUCAGCACGCUCGACGCGUAUUCGAGAGGUCUGUGGUUCGAGUCCCGGCGAGGGCA
rnacentral:tRNA from 1 species